AUGGUUGAUUGAUUAACAUAUAAGGAUGAACAUGAUUGUGUGUGUGUGUGUGUGUGUGUGUGGGUGUUUUACUGAAACCAGACUUGGCUGUAAUGUGGAUUUUUUAUUGGCAGAGUGGCAGAUUUGCUUUCAAAGCACACACACACGGUGUCUGAGGCAGUAUCUUGGAUUGAAAUUUAUGCUCGGCCUCCUCCCUCCACCUGCUGGGUGUUCACGGUGAUGAUGCUGUCCUCAGGCAUUUUUCCAGAAGAGAGAGAGAGAGAGAAGGAGGACAAGACAUUCCACCCUGCCAUUUAUUAGCCAAAGUGGAUUAAUGGUACACACCUGCUUUCCUGUACACAGCGUCACUGUAUUAGCUGGCGCAAAACGCAGCAAAAAUCCACCGAACAGCGACCGAGGCUCUCUUGGGGGAUGUGUGUGGGAGGGGAGGGGGGCGGCUUGGGCUCCCGAGUGUACUGUUUGACGACGCUAUAAGCCAUAAUAGGGACAGGCUGUGACGGACUGUCUGGGCCUCAUGCCGAAAUUUUAUUAUUAUUAUUUUCUUUUUUUACAAAACUUUGUGUAGCUAAGCAUCAAUUAUGUGCAGUAUUAAUCAUGUCAGUGGAAGGUCCUCAUAAGGAUAGUAAGCGUGUGUGUGUGUGUGUGUGUGUGUGUGUGUUAGUAAGAGUUUAUCCAGACAACACUGAUAUCUGAUGUUAUUUAUUGAUGUGUAUACUCACACACACCUGACGUUGAAGCUUUGAGGUGUAAAUCCAUGUUUUGUCUGACCCCUGCGUUCCGGCCAAUCAGAUCGUCCCGUUCGGCGUGAGCGCUCCACUCUCGGAUAUAAACACGUUUUUCACGCGGCUCUUUGAUCUUGACCGUGCUCCAUAAACAUGCGACUUAUUUUCGUAAUCAGCUUCGAAUAAUUAUCUCUAACUUCCUGUGGCGAGUUUACACAACAGUG
ensembl:lncRNA